rnacentral:tRNA from 1 species
CCGGCGGCUCGUUCGGGGCCGGGCACUACGCCCUCUGUGGGAAGGCGUUCGACCCGCGGUUCCUCUUCGCGUGGCCGACC